rnacentral:rRNA from 1 species
CCUACGGGGGGCAGCAGUGGGGAAUAUUGGACAAUGGGGGGAACCCUGAUCCAGCCAUGCCGCGUGUGUGAAGAAGGCCCUCGGGUUGUAAAGCACUUUCAGUGAGGAAGAACGCCUGGUGGUUAAUACCCAUCAGGAAAGACAUCACUCACAGAAGAAGCACCGGCUAACUCCGUGCCAGCAGCCGCGGUAAUACGGAGGGUGCGAGCGUUAAUCGGAAUUACUGGGCGUAAAGCGCGCGUAGGUGGCUUGAUAAGCCGGUUGUGAAAGCCCCGGGCUCAACCUGGGAACGGCAUCCGGAACUGUCAAGCUAGAGUGCAGGAGAGGAAGGUAGAAGUCCCGGUGUAGCGGUGAAAUGCGUAGAGAUCGGGAGGAAUACCAGUGGCGAAGGCGGCCUUCUGGACUGACACUGACACUGAGGUGCGAAAGCGUGGGUAGCAAACAGGAUUAGAUACCCCUGUAGUC